AGCAGUCGCCGCGGUAAUACGUAGGGUGCAAGCGUUAAUCUGAAUUACUGGGCGUAAAGCGUGCGCAGGCGGUUAUAUAAGACAGAUGUGAAAUCCCCGGGCUCAACCUGGGAACUGCAUUUGUGACUGUAUAGCUAGAGUACGGCAGAGGGGGAUGGAAUUCCGCGUGUAGCAGUGAAAUGCGUAGAUAUGCGGAGGAACACCGAUGGCGAAGGCAAUCCCCUGGGCCUGUACUGACGCUCAUGCACGAAAGCGUGGGGAGCAAACAGGAUUAGAUACCCGAGUAGUCCCUGUCUCUUAUAC
rnacentral:rRNA from 1 species